GAACGCUAGCUACAGGCUUAACACAUGCAAGUCGAGGGGCAGCAUGGUCUUAGCUUGCUAAGGCCGAUGGCGACCGGCGCACGGGUGAGUAACACGUAUCCAACCUGCCGUCUACUCUUGGACAGCCUUCUGAAAGGAAGAUUAAUACAAGAUGGCAUCAUGAGUCCGCAUGUUCACAUGAUUAAAGGUAUUCCGGUAGACGAUGGGGAUGCGUUCCAUUAGAUAGUAGGCGGGGUAACGGCCCACCUAGUCUUCGAUGGAUAGGGGUUCUGAGAGGAAGGUCCCCCACAUUGGAACUGAGACACGGUCCAAACUCCUACGGGAGGCAGCAGUGAGGAAUAUUGGUCAAUGGGCGAGAGCCUGAACCAGCCAAGUAGCGUGAAGGAUGACUGCCCUAUGGGUUGUAAACUUCUUUUAUAAAGGAAUAAAGUCGGGUAUGGAUACCCGUUUGCAUGUACUUUAUGAAUAAGGAUCGGCUAACUCCGUGCCAGCAGCCGCGGUAAUACGGAGGAUCCGAGCGUUAUCCGGAUUUAUUGGGUUUAAAGGGAGCGUAGAUGGAUGUUUAAGUCAGUUGUGAAAGUUUGCGGCUCAACCGUAAAAUUGCAGUUGAUACUGGAUAUCUUGAGUGCAGUUGAGGCAGGCGGAAUUCGUGGUGUAGCGGUGAAAUGCUUAGAUAUCACGAAGAACUCCGAUUGCGAAGGCAGCCUGCUAAGCUGCAACUGACAUUGAGGCUCGAAAGUGUGGGUAUCAAACAGGAUUAGAUACCCUGGUAGUCCACACGGUAAACGAUGAAUACUCGCUGUUUGCGAUAUACAGCAAGCGGCCAAGCGAAAGCGUUAAGUAUUCCACCUGGGGAGUACGCCGGCAACGGUGAAACUCAAAGGAAUUGACGGGGGCCCGCACAAGCGGAGGAACAUGUGGUUUAAUUCGAUGAUACGCGAGGAACCUUACCCGGGCUUAAAUUGCAGAUGAAUUACGGUGAAAGCCGUAAGCCGCAAGGCAUCUGUGAAGGUGCUGCAUGGUUGUCGUCAGCUCGUGCCGUGAGGUGUCGGCUUAAGUGCCAUAACGAGCGCAACCCUUGUUGUCAGUUACUAACAGGUUCCGCUGAGGACUCUGACAAGACUGCCAUCGUAAGAUGUGAGGAAGGUGGGGAUGACGUCAAAUCAGCACGGCCCUUACGUCCGGGGCUACACACGUGUUACAAUGGGGGGUACAGAGGGCCGCUACCACGCGAGUGGAUGCCAAUCCCCAAAACCUCUCUCAGUUCGGACUGGAGUCUGCAACCCGACUCCACGAAGCUGGAUUCGCUAGUAAUCGCACAUCAGCCACGGCGCGGUGAAUACGUUCCCGGGCCUUGUACACACCGCCCGUCAAGCCAUGGGAGCCGGGGGUACCUGAAGUGCGUAACCGCGAGGAGCGCCCUAGGGUAAAACUGGUGACUGGGGCUAAG
rnacentral:rRNA from 1 species